rnacentral:rRNA from 1 species
CCUGAGAAACCCAAAAGAUCGAAUGGGGAGAUUCAUCGUCAGGGAUCUCGGCACGCGCGCGGUUCGCGAUCCCGGGAGGCCUCGGCCCCCCGGGACACGUCCGCGCGCGAUCUUUUGCCGGGUGUCGUCGGCGUGCACUUCUCCCCUAGUAGGACGUCGCGACCCGUUGGGUGUCGGUCUACGGCCCGGGAGGGCGCCUGUCGCGUGUCUCGCUUAACGGCGCGUCAUACGGCAGACCCCCGGUUGCCCGACCAGCUGCCCGGCGGUACUCGCACGGUAUCGAGCCGCAACUAUUCGAAUUGCGUCCGGCCCGCCGCAAGCGAGGCCAGUGAUCCCGGAUGUAACGGACCUAGCGCCGUCGCCGGGCCUGGCCGGCUGUUGGUUGGCGGUGCCCUCGGACUGGCUCUUAAUUUUACCGGUCGGCGACGCUACUGCUUUGGGUACUUUCAGGACCCGUCUUGAAACACGGACCAAGGAGUCUAACAUGUGCGCGAGUCAUUGGGAAUAUCGUUAAGCCUAAAGGCGCAAUGAAAGUGAAGGUCGGCCUCCGCGCCGACCGAGGGAGGAUGGGUCGCGUCGAGAUGCGGCCCCGCACUCCCGGGGCGUCUCGUUCUCAUUGCGAGAAGAGGCGCACCCAGAGCGUACACGU